rnacentral:rRNA from 1 species
GACGAACGCUGGCGGCGUGCCUAAUACAUGCAAGUCGAACGAAAGCGACCGGUGCUUGCACUGGUCAAUCUAGUGGCGAACGGGUGAGUAACACGUGGGUAACCUGCCUAUCAGAGUGGGAUAACAUCCGGAAACGGAUGCUAAUACCGCAUAAGUCUUCGAACCGCAUGGUUUGAAGAUGAAAAACGGUGCAAGCUUCUGCUGAUGGUUGGACCCGCGGUGCAUUAGCUAGUUGGUGAGGUAACGGCUCACCAAGGCAGUGAUGCAUAGCCGACCUGAGAGGGUGAUCGGCCACAUUGGAACUGAGACACGGCCCAAACUCCUACGGGAGGCAGCAGUAGGGAAUCUUCCGCAAUGGACGAAAGUCUGACGGAGCAACGCCGCGUGAGUGAAGAAGGUUUUCGGAUCGUAAAACUCUGUUGUUAGAGAAGAACAAGUGCUAGAGUAACUGUUAGCGCCUUGACGGUAUCUAACCAGAAAGCCACGGCUAACUACGUG